rnacentral:rRNA from 1 species
AGCGGCGGACGGGUGAGUAACGCGUGGGUAACCUGCCCUGUACACACGGAUAACAUACCGAAAGGUAUGCUAAUACGGGAUAACAUAAGAAAGUCGCAUGGCUUUCUUAUCAAAGCUUUUGCGGUACAGGAUGGACCCGCGUCUGAUUAGCUAGUUGGUAAGGUAACGGCUUACCAAGGCGACGAUCAGUAGCCGACCUGAGAGGGUGAUCGGCCACAUUGGAACUGAGACACGGUCCAAACUCCUACGGGAGGCAGCAGUGGGGAAUAUUGCACAAUGGGCGAAAGCCUGAUGCAGCAACGCCGCGUGAGCGAUGAAGGCCUUCGGGUCGUAAAGCUCUGUCCUCAAGGAAGAUAAUGACGGUACUUGAGGAGGAAGCCCCGGCUAACUACGUGCCAGCAGCCGCGGUAAUACGUAGGGGGCUAGCGUUAUCCGGAAUUACUGGGCGUAAAGGGUGCGUAGGCGGUCUUUCAAGUCAGAAGUGAAAGGCUACGGCUCAACCGUAGUAAGCUUUUGAAACUGUAAGACUUGAGUGCAGGAGAGGAGAGUGGAAUUCCUAGUGUAGCGGUGAAAUGCGUAGAUAUUAGGAGGAACACCAGUUGCGAAGGCGGCUCUCUGGACUGUAACUGACGCUGAGGCACGAAAGCGUGGGGAGCAAACAGG